rnacentral:rRNA from 1 species
GAUGAACGCUGGCGGCGUGCCUAAUACAUGCAAGUCGAGCGAACAGACGAGGAGCUUGCUCCUCUGACGUUAGCGGCGGACGGGUGAGUAACACGUGGAUAACCUACCUAUAAGACUGGGAUAACUUCGGGAAACCGGAGCUAAUACCGGAUAAUAUAUUGAACCGCAUGGUUCAAUAGUGAAAGACGGUUUUGCUGUCACUAUAGAUGGAACCGCGCCGGAUUAGCUAGUUGGUAAGGUAACGGCUUACCAAGGCAACGAUGCGUAGCCGACCUGAGAGGGUGAUCGGCCACACUGGAACUGAGACACGGUCCAGACUCCUACGGGAGGCAGCAGUAGGGAAUCUUCCGCAAUGGGCGAAAGCCUGACGGAGCAACGCCGCGUGAAUGAUGAAGGUCUUCGGAUCGUAAAACUCUGUUAUUAGGGAAGAACAAAUGUGUAAGUAACUAUGCACGUCUUGACGGUACCUAAUCAGAAAGCCACGGCUAACUACGUG